rnacentral:rRNA from 1 species
CCUUGUACACACCGCCGUCAAGUCAUGAAAGUCGGUAACACCCGAAGCCAGUGGCCCAACCGCAAGGAGGGAGCUGUCGAAGGUGGGAUCGGUGAUUAGGACU